AUGGCGACGCACGCUGGACCGUGCUUCUCCGCCGCUGUGCUGCCUUUGCUCCUCGGUUUCCUGCUUCUGCGAGGAGCACCGUCGCGCGCCGCUGAUACAAACACCGUCGCCGUCGGCCAGCCGCUGUCAGGCCGAAAGAGGCUCGUGUCCAAGCGCGGCAAGUUCGCGCUCGGCUUCUUCCAGCCUGCAGAAUCAUCGCGGCACUGGUACCUCGGCAUUUGGUACAACCAAAUCUCCGAGCACACCACGGUGUGGGUCGCCAACCGGGACGCGCCGCUCUCCGACCCGGCUUCCUCGCAGCUCUCUAUCUCCAGCGACGGCAACAUGGUCCUCCUCCACGGCGACCGUGCCAAGUCCCCGGCACUCUGGUCCACCGGCGUCGCCAGCAUUCCACCCAGCAGCUCCACGGUCGGCGUCCUGCUCGACACGGGCAACCUCGUCCUGACGGACGCGUCCAACACCUCAGUCGUGCUGUGGCAGAGCUUCGACCACUUCGGGGACACGUGGCUGCCGGGCGGCAGGCUCGGCCGGAACAAGCGCACCGGCGAGGUCACGCGCCUGUUCGCGUGGAAGGGCUACGACGACCCGGCGCCGGGCGUGUUCGCCCUGGAGCUCGACCCGAACGGCACGAGCCAGUACCUGCUCAACUGGAACGGCAGCAUGGAGUACUGGACCAGCGGCAACUGGACCGGCGACGGGUUCACCGGCGUGCCGGAGCUGAAGGCCUAUAGCAACUCCCCGAUGUCCAUGUACAACUUCGGCUACGUCGACGGCAAGGACGAGAGCCACUUCUUCUACGACGUCAAGGACGAGGCCGUCGUGACGCGGUUCCUGGUCGACGUGACGGGCCAGAUCAAGUUCCUGACGAGGAGGAGGAGGCUGAAGGCGCAAAGGAGAGUCGUGGAAGGUUCGCUGAUGCCGUUCACGUACCGCGACAUGCAGUCCGUGACCAACAACUUCUCGGACAAGCUCGGCGGCGGCUCCUUCGGGUCGGUGUUCAAAGGGUCGCUCCCCGACGCGACCGCGACGCUGGUCGCGGUGAAGAAGCUCGAGGGCGUGCGUCAGGGGGAGAAGCAGUUCCGCGCGGAGGUGAGCACCAUCGGCACCAUCCAGCACGUCAACCUCAUCCGGCUGCUCGGGUUCUGCUCCGAGGGGACACGGAGGCUGCUCGUCUACGAGCACAUGCCCAACGGCUCUCUGGACAGGCACCUCUUCUCGUCCGGCCCCGGCCCCGGCCAUGGCGUCCUGAGCUGGGAGACGAGGUACCAGAUCGCUCUGGGCGUCGCGAGGGGACUGGACUAUCUGCACGACAAGUGCAGGGACUGCAUCAUACACUGCGACAUCAAGCCGGAGAACAUCCUCCUGGACGACGCGUUCGCCGUGAAGGUAGCGGACUUCGGCCUCGCGAAGCUCAUGGGCCGGGACAUCAGCCGCGUGCUGACGACGAUGAGGGGCACGGUGGGGUACCUCGCGCCGGAGUGGAUCACCGGCACGGCCAUCACGGCCAAGGCCGACGUGUUCAGCUACGGCAUGCUGCUGUUCGAGAUCGUGUCCGGCAGGAGGAACGUGGAGCAGCGGCCGGACGGCACGGUGGACUUCUUCCCGUCGGCGGCCGCGAGCCGGCUCCUGGAUGGCGACGUGAAGAGCACGGUGGACAGGCGGCUCGACGGCGACGCAGAGGUUGGCGAGGUGGAGCGGGCGUGCAAGGUGGCGUGCUGGUGCGUGCAGGACGAGGAGGGCGCGCGGCCGAGCAUGGGGACGGUGGUGCAGGCGCUCGAGGGGCUCGUCGAUGUCGGCAUGCCGCCUGUCCCGAGAAUGCUCAAAGUGCUCGGGGAUCCAGCCAACUACGUCAAGUUCUUUUCAGGGUUGCCGUCGACGUGA
rnacentral:rRNA from 1 species